AGAGUUUGAUCAUGGCUCAGGACGAACGCUGGCGGCGCGCUUAACACAUGCAAGUCGAGCGAGAACCAGACCUUCGGGUCUGGGGACAGCGGCGAACGGGUGAGUAACACGUGGGUAAUCAACCCUCGGUACUGGGAUAGCCCGGGGAAACCCGGAUUAAUACCGGAUGGCCCUUUGGAUCUUCGGAUCUGACGGAAAAGGUAGCUUCGGCCUCCGACCGAGGACGAGCCCGCGGCGGAUUAGCUUGUUGGUGGGGUAACGGCCUACCAAGGCGGCGAUCCGUAGCUGGUCUGAGAGGACGAUCAGCCACACUGGGACUGAGACACGGCCCAGACUCCUACGGGAGGCAGCAGUGGGGAAUCUUGCGCUAAUGCGGGAAACCGUGACGCAGCGACGCCGCGUGAGGGAAGAAGGCCCUCGGGUUGUAAAGCCCUUUUCCCGGGGACGAAUCUGACGGUACCCGGGGAAGAAGCCCCGGCCAACUACGUGCCAGCAGCCGCGGUAAUAC
rnacentral:rRNA from 1 species